AUUCUCUUGGGUACAGGCAGUGUAAAGCUGGAAGCAGCUCUCCUGCCUCCCACACUAAAGCUUGGUAACCUAGGGCCCCUCUCCCUACUACAGUAUAUUAUGGGAAGAGACCUUUAGGAGAAAAGUGAGGAUGACUCUGCCAGUGACCAAGAAAAAGGGGGGUUUUGUCCCCUGCAGAUGUUACAGGUGCUUGUCAGGAGAGCUCAAGCUUCCAACUGGCUGAAGUGUCUUAAAAGAGAAAGUGAAAUAAAACACCGAAGAACUUGGAUGGUUUAUGAACUGCAGUGCUACAUCAGGGAGACCUCUCAUCCCCCACUCCGGUACAGCACUGUUGGGGGUCUCCAGAGGACUUCAGUCAGGCAGCGCAGCAGGAUCUAUAGAGGCGGCUGAGGUUUCCGGACAGUCUGCGAGCAGUUUCUCCUUAUAGGAAGAGAGUUGCACCUGCCGCUGAACUUGGCUCCGCCCCAAGGGAAGCAAGUGGAAAAUUAGGAACGGGGUUUUUUCCUUUGCUGUGGACCCUGAACACAAGAACGCCAGAAGAGCCUGGCUGCUGGAUCAGGCCCAUCAAGUCCGGCAUCCCUGCAGCCAACCAGGUGCCCUAGGGGGGAAGCCUGAAAGCAGGACCAGAGCACACCAGCAGUGCUCUCCACACUUGUGCUUCCCAGCAGUGGAUCAUCCAGUGAGACCCAAAGAGCUGACCUUGCAGCCAAAAGGCAGAGCUAGUCUGGGAACUGGGGGUCCCCUCUCCAGGGCUUCUGUAGUGGUGGCCCCCCAGUCCUUGGAAUGCCCUCCACAUGGAAGCUCUCCUGGCACCAGCCAAAUAUUUCAGCACCAGCCAGAGAUUCAUUUGGCCGAUCUGCCUAGAUCCUCUUCCAACAACUGUUUUACCAAUGCUUGGCCCUGGCUUGAGUGAAUUUAGUGUUUUUGCCGUUCUAGCAUUUCUUUUCUUAAAAAAAGUUUGCUAUGUUGGUUGGCUAGACUUUGAUUUGUUUGCCACUUUUUGACUUUCUGGGUCGAACAGCAGGAUAAAAAACAAAAUAU